AGGAGGAAGGGCGUAGCAAGCGACGAAAUGCUUCGUGGAGUUGAAAAUAAGCAUAGAUCCGGAGAUUCCCAAAUAGGUCAACCUUUUGAACUGCCUGCUGAAUCCAUGAGCAGGCAAGAGACAACCUGGUGAACUGAAACAUCUUAGUAGUGAGAGGAAAAGAAAGGAUAAUG
rfam:Triticum aestivum genome assembly, contig: Triticum_aestivum_CS42_TGACv1_scaffold_642979_T_6DS-0.116442_2DL-0.112020